UACGUAGGGUGCAAGCGUUAAUCGGAAUUACUGGGCGUAAAGCGUGCGCAGGCGGUUUUGUAAGUCUGUCGUGAAAUCCCCGGGCUCAACCUGGGAAUUGCGAUGGAGACUGCAAGGCUAGAAUCUGGCAGAGGGGGGUAGAAUUCCACGUGUAGCAGUGAAAUGCGUAGAGAUGUGGAGGAACACCGAUGGCGAAGGCAGCCCCCUGGGUCAAGAUUGACGCUCAUGCACGAAGGCGUGGGGAGCAAACAGG
rnacentral:rRNA from 1 species